rnacentral:lncRNA from 1 species
ACAAAUCAUAGUAUUAUUUAUUCCAUCUGUCAGCCAAAUCAUCUUCUAAAUACAAAAUGACAAAAAAAAUAUCACAGACUCAAGUUUGACACGAGAAUAAAUAAGACGAAAAGUAAUAUUUACAUAACUAAAAGACCACUUAUGUUGUCCUGAUGACUGCAAUGUAUGAUUAAAUAACUAUCUUUCUUUCACAAAAUGAUGGCCUUCAUGCACCAUCAGGUUGGACUGAUUUGCUUGCUGAGUUGCUUGAGCCCUUAAAAGAAAUCCAAUCAGGUUAUCCAUCUCAUGUUGCUUCUUUUGCCAGGCUUAUUCUUCUCUUGUUGGCUCUUCUUUGCAUCUCUUCAAAUUCUCUAUCUUGUGCUUCAUGUCUCGCGGCUAAAUCCUCCUGGUGCCUAUAAAUUGAUGAAACAUAACAACAUGUUGCACCUUAAUGAGAUGAAAACAUAUAGAUAACAAGGUAUAAGAGUACCACUAAGAAACUUAUAAUCUAUCGAAUUAUGAAUCUAAGUACAUUAUUAACAAGAUUUGCGGGUAUGUGGAUGGGUCAAUAAAACAUUAAGUUAGGUUAGCGGAACAAGAAGACACAAACUUGUAUAAAACAUUGUCAGUCAAAAUAUUUUACAUAGAUCACUGUUGCACUUUUAACUAGUGUGCCACUUAUAGUUUAAGUAGCAUCCGAAUGACUAGUGAGGGCACUACGGCAGCAGAUGGUAAUGCACUAUAGUGAUCUACUGAAGAUAUUUCAUAGUUAGUUGCAUAAGUAUAGUUGUUUGACGCUUUGGUUACUACAGAAGUUUAGAUCAGCACAUCACAAAAAAAUAGAUUAGUAAUGUACUACAAAAUCACAGAGCAAAACACAAAAAUGUUUCUUUAGUAAGGAGUGACAUCCAUUCGAUAUAUUGAACAGUCUCAAAACGAUGCAAUAUCCAAAGGUCAUCACCCAACCAUAGUAGGCAACCUUAUUGUUAUUAAGUGUGUGUUUUCUCAUCUCUGAAUUGAUUCAAACAUGCUAUGAAUUUGGUAGAUCAUCACCAUAUGUACAACUAAGUGCCAUAAGCAACUAGAACUAGUACUGUAAACUACACUAUUUGAAUCGGUUGUGUGCUUACACAUCUUCUUCUGCAGCUACAGCUAAUUGUGUACUCGCACUGCUGUUGUACGAUGCUUCCUCAAUCUAAAUAUAAGAAAUAAAAAUUUAAGUUAUGGGCAAAGGAAGUACACGAUGAGCUUAAAUGUUAGGCGUACACAACCAGCUGGUAAGGAAUUAUCCAGUAUUGCAUUGUAUGCAAAUAGAAAGUGGAGAAGCAAGUAGUAAAAAGAACAAGCUUCAGACUGUACCAACAUAGCAAGGCCGAUAAGAUUAUCUUAAUAUUGCAAACCCAAUCUUCUACCUACAGUAAGCGUCGACUAAUGCACCUACGUUUACGGAAUAAAACAGAGAAGACAAAAAAUUUACUGACAAGUGUUCACAUGGAGAAAAAAUAUUACAGAAUACCAAAAUCAUCUUCUCUUUCACCGAGCAGUAUUAGCCCAUGAUAGGAGCCCUCAACAUAUCUUUAGCUUGUUAACUUUUAUCACAGAAUAUUAAUUUAUUGUCCAUAACUACUAAUAGAAGGCAAUUCCUAGUACAGUUUCAUUGUUAAAUGUUAAUACUCUGAACGUAGAGUCUAGUCACAUAUUAAAUGUUCUGGAGACUGCAUGAUCUUGCAGCUUAAAGGGGAAACAUGACUUGAAAUUAUUCAUUUUAGAAAUUUAGAGACAGGGAGGAACAUAUACGUAUAAACCAUACCUUUGAGAAGAGCAAAGGGCAUUGAUCUUACUCCUUAUCUAGAUGAACUGCAACUAGGAAAAGGAGAUCUUAAAUAGGUGGUUAGAACAAUCAAAUUACAGAUCACAAAUCUUACAUCCAGAAAUUAUGGAAGAAAUAAGGAAGCAGCGAAAUAUACCCUCGAAUAGUUGGAAGGGGACCAGAUCUAAUGGUAUUGCAGCGGGGUUCCUUGCAGAGUUUCUCACCCAUCCCCUAGCCUCACUGCAUCAUCGGGUUGCCUCUUCCAAACCUGUUGUCUCCAGCCGCCGCCAUCUUGUUGGUCACUGGACGAAACCAAACUUCUAAAUCAGCAUCUAAUCUCAAGUAGUGGCUGAUGGAGGGGUGGUGAGGAAACGUCCAGAUCUUGGUAAAGCACGAGGUAGGAAAGGAAGCUGGGGAAGGCGCUGGAGUGGGCGAUGGUGAGGAUGAGGCGAGCGGCUAUGAUGUUGCGUGUAGAGGCUGGCGACUUCGAUGUCGCGGGUUGGCGGAUCCGAUCUUGGCCGGCGAGGCGUGGCGGCCGUUCCUUGUGGAGAG